rnacentral:misc_RNA from 1 species
UCCCAAACCCUCCAUGCGCCCAUCAUCGCGUUUUCCUGUGAUAGUGUUAUGGAUUAUAACCAAAGGCGGCCACAAAACUAGAUCAUCUCGGUUUGCAGUUGCUUCAUCAGCAGAUAACAUCUGAUAUGACUUUGAGUGAUCAGGAGGUGUCAAAUAGUUCCAUCCCAUCAGAACACAUAAUGCUUUGUGGAAGGCCAAAUGGUCCACAAGUGAAUCAGCACUAUCCGGGUUGUAGGCGUGCAUAAUGAGAGAGUGCAUAUCAGGAAAAUCUUUUGAAGUCCUGUUGCAAGCAAGACACUGCAAACGCCCCUGCUUUCCAUCAGCCAAAUAACUCCUUUUGACAUUAGCAGUGUCAAAAAUUAACUUCACCAUAGGCAAAAAAGACUUCUUUAAUGCACUUUGAUCCACCUCAUUGUGCUUAGUCCUACUCGCCCUCCCUUCAAAACCUCCACUUCUCAUAUAUUUUGGUGGCCUAUUCAUUUCUUCUCCUCUACCCAUAUACGAACUACUUGACCCGGGCGGAACCGGACCAGCAUUUCCAUGUUCCAACACUUGUUGCCUUAACCUAUCAAGCCCAUCCUUUCCCUCGUCACCAAACUUCCUCUUCAUUGCACCAUCACCAACACGUCCCCCUUCUACCCCUAACGGAUUCCAAUGAUCCGGAUUCCUAUUCCUCAUAAACCCAUCAUCCGGAAACUGCCUCUCAAAUCCUAACCCCGGCGGACCACGAAAGUCCGGCCGGGGAAAAGCUGGAAAAUCCUGAUAAUCAUGGGGUAAUGCAAAGUAAGACCGUACUGAACCAUCAGCUAGAACUAUGGUCCUACGUUCAAGCAUGUGAAACCCAUAUAAAGGGGGUGGAGGUGGGUCACGAAAAGGGAAAGGGGGCAAGCCAAAGUGAGCAUUCGGGUCGGGUUUUGGUGACGGUUUGCUAAUGGGUUUCGGAUUUGGAGUCGUAGGCUGAAUUGGGUUUGUGGGUUUUGGAGAGGGCUUCGAUUUGGGGUCACCGGAUCCGGAUGCAGCGCCGGCACCGGCUACUGAGGUUUUGGGAUCGGAAGAAGGUUUUUUUCCGGUGGUGGAUUCCCAUCGGGAUUUCCGGUGUGAAGCAGAGGGAGCUGGCUUGUUGGAGGAGGGUUUUGGAGGGUUACCUCCUGCCAUCCUCUUUGAGUUUUCUGAUGCGGCGACUGAGUGCUUAGUAUUUGGA